rnacentral:rRNA from 1 species
UUUAUUGAGAGUUUGAUCCUGGCUCAGGAUGAACGCUGGCGGCGUGCUUAACACAUGCAAGUCGAACGAAGCACUCAGGAGCGAUUUCGGUCAAUCCUGUUUGACUGAGUGGCGGACGGGUGAGUAACGCGUGAGGAACCUGCCUUGCAGUGGGGAAUAACAGUUGGAAACGACUGCUAAUACCGCAUAAUGCAGAGAGACCGCAUGAUCUUUCUGCCAAAGAUUUAUCGCUGUAAGAUGGCCUCGCGUCUGAUUAGCUAGUUGGUGGGGUAACGGCCUACCAAGGCGACGAUCAGUAGCCGGACUGAGAGGUUGA